ACAUUGCAAACCAAGAAAGAAUAUUUCUUGAUAGGAGUACAUAAAUGAAUUCAACUUGAGUAAAUGUAGAAUAAGUAGUUAUUUUCAGAAUGUAGAUACCUAGUGUAUAGUAUAAACAGGGAUAGAUAACUGUUGAAAAGGUGGUUUAGUAGGUAGAAUGGAUGAAUAGUCAAGAAAAGUAGUUAUCAUCUGUAGUAUAGGAGUUGGUAUCGCAGGGUAGUAUAAGGAGGAUGGGAGAGGGGAAGAAAAGGCCAGACUGUGAUAGUAUUGAACUGGGGGCUAGACUAUGAGAGUUGUAAGUCGAAGUAAGCUUGGUGCUACCUCUUUUCUUUUGUUUGUUAUUUUCUUUGAAUAAGAGGAUUGAAAGUUUCUGAAUAUUAUGAAGUAAAUUAUAGAAUGGAAAUAUGAUUGGUAUUAUUUGAGAAGAAGAAAGAUUGAAUGCUGAAAUCUGAUUGUAGUUCAGCAGAGAGAAUGAGUCUGUGUUUGUGUGAAACACUGUAAUGUGAAUGGCAAUUCUGUGUGAAGAAUUCCAGUGAUUGGAAUGAGGAUAAUUGUGUGAUGAAAGCUGUGAGGGCACAGUAUUACAGUUAGAGAUUAUGAGAGUGAAUAUAUUAGUAGAAAUAGCAGUUAUUGGUAUGAUUGAAUUGCUGUAAGGAAGAGACUGAUAAGGUGAAGGAGGAGAUUAUAGUUUCCUUGUGUGUUCAGAUAUUGGAAAUAGAGACGAUACAUUCAAGAGGUAAUUGAUUGUAUGAUCCUAAAGUGAAUGCUUAAGCAACUAGUCAUUCCUCGUGUUCGAAUCCCCCUAUACGAAUUUAUACUGGGAGGUUUCUUCCGAAAUAUGUAAAAUGAGCAAUCACAUUUUGGCGCCGUUGUCGGGGAGUGAUAAUAGCUUUGAGUAUUAGGAAUUAAUUACUAAACGUGUGGGAAAAUUGGCAAUAGAAGAUGAUUUCAGUAGUGUUUGAAGAAAGAGUAUGAUUAUUAAGAAUGAAAAUUUAACAGCAAAGAGAAUAAAACAAUCAAAGAAAAGAACAGAGAGAUCGCAAGCAAGAAAUUUAUUACGUAAUGAGCGAGAUCGCAAAUUGAAAAAGAAGCAUCGACAAAGUUGGAUUAAGCCGUGGUUGCAUGCCUAUCGACAUAUUCGAUCAUACCCAGAAGACGAUCGACCUCUAAUAUUUCAGAAGUACAUACGAUUAAAGAAAUUGCCAAGAGCACUUGUGGGAAGCAUUGCUAAUAGUCCAGCAAACCUCUCGAAGCCGUUAACGGAAAAUGAGGAAAGCAUAGAGAAAUUAAGUAUCCCACUGGGUAUCUUCUCAAUUAGAAAUUUUUUCGAUCGUAAUAAGACUGGUUCUCAAGUUCGGCAUAAAUCACUUGCCAAUAAAGACUAAUUUAGAGUAUAUCAAAACAUGUCAUUUUUACCUCAUAUUCAACUAGUAAAAUUAUUUGGAGAUAAUAAUAGUCAAUCGAGAAGGCCUGAAAGUCCAAAAAAGACUUUUAUGGGAGACAAUUUUUAAUUUAAUAAGAAAUUGAGUGAAACAUCGGCAUCUUUAAUGAUGUUCAGAGGACCAGCAAUUUCCAUUGCAGUUCAAAUGGGUGCAGUGGGCGAUCGAAUGACUAGCAUCAUGCCAUUACCUACUUUUUGAGGUUUUUCAGGUGCGGAUUCAGAUCAACAUUUGUUUCAAUUCUUGACAAUGUGUGUAGCCAAUAAUGUAAGAACAAAAGAUAUUUGGCUGAAAUGGCUGCCAACAACAUUGAAAGACAUAGCGUUUGAAUGGUAUAACCGCCAACCUAAAGGAUAAUUUAUCAAUUGGGAGGCAUUGAAAAAUACAUUUUUAGCCCAUUUUUGAUCAAUUGUUUUGAAGAACGUCUUAGAGAAAAAAUUAAUGAAUAGCAGAAUGGUACCAGCGGAAGCGGUACAGUCAUAUUAUGGUCGUGUAGUAGAUAUACUUCGAAAAUGGCCAAAUAACCAAAUGUCGAAAUCAUUUGUGUUGUCCAUAUUACUUAAUAGACUAUACCCACCAGAAUUGAAAAUGUUUGUAAAGGAGGCCCAAUCAGCCACCAUUGCAUCAUCUCUUGAGCGAGCAAAAGUAUGGAAGGAAUGUCACUAUGACCACAACUUAAUAGUUGGAGCCACGAUGAUUCCAUCUCAAGGAGGUUAUCAAAUGACAAAUUGAAAUGACGCAUCGGGAAGUUAUCUGGGAAGGAAUGAUUAUGGUACAAUUCUAUAGGAAAUAGUGGAUGCCGUUCCAUUGCAAGCUGUACCACCAUCAUCAUCACACUCGUAUGCGCCUUAUUCCGCAUAUCAAAAACCAAUACCUACAUAGGAAUUGCUAAAUGCAUUGGUAUCAAGGGAUCCCAAUAAAUCAUUGCUGUUAACAUUGACAAAAAAAAUGGAUGAAUUGGCUGUGAAUCUGGUCAAGGAUAAAGAAAAAAGGCAUAAACCAACCAAUAUGCAUCCCAAUGUUUGAUACAGCAAUUAUAAGGGGCAAGGUCAUUUAGUAACAGAAUGUCCUUCACCACCCCAAAUGACUGUACAAUGUACCUUUUGCGGAGGCAAGCAUAUUACCACCAACUGUUGGAAUUUACGGAAGCAACAACAACUCAGUAACCACAUAAUGACUCAACCAACUUCGUGGGAUAUCAAUCAAGUACAGACGAAUAAUAGGUUUGGCUAGAAUAGAAAUCAAGCGAAUAAGCAAAACAAGAAUUAUUCUAAUUUUCUCAACUCUGAAUUUCACCAAGAAGGUGUAUCCAAUACUUACGGAUUGAUGAUGAAUCAACCAGAAUACCAUCAAUGUCCACCCAUGAUGAAGCCAAUGCCAGACUCUACCGUAACAAUGGAUCAACCAAGAUCCUUUACUCAUCCGACAUGGAACAGACCUAGCUGUUAUAUACCAGUAGAGACACUCAAUAUCCCUGAAGGAGUUGGCAGGAUACCACUUCAUUGCUAUCGUUGCAGACAAAUUGGUCAUUAUGCCAAUGAAUGUCCUAAUCCAAGGGCCAAUGAUGACUAUGCUCCAAUAUGUGGAAAUUGUAAGCACUUUGGACACACUUAACAGCAGUGCAAUGGGCCCUUUAAUUAUAAUAACCGAGACCAGCAAAUACAAAUAAGCCAAGUGGCGGAGGACAAAGGCCCUGUUCAACAAGAUUCACUAGUACAUUGUGUCAAGGUGGUGAAUGCAGUGCUUACUAGAGGCCAACAAAAAGACAAGAAUCUAAUUCAGGACAUGGAUGAACUAAUCACAGGAGAGCAAGUAGCGCCGUCCACAGGGCUAAACAAAUCUAUAUGAGUAUUGGGACGUAUCCCAAUAUUGAGACCUCAACAGACUGAGGAACCCAAUUCAAUCCCACGUGCUAAUUUAUCGGAACCAUCAAGAUCAAUCCCAACUGAUUAAGUACUAAUACCUAUACAAUCCAAUAAAAGAUCUUAGACAUUAAAGGAACCUUUAGUGGUAGACAAGUUGGCGAAGUUACCAACGGCAAUCCCAAUUGCCAAGAAGGAAUUGCUGUCGAACGGAGUAAAAUCGAAACCAAUGAAACGAAAAAGAGCAUUGGGAAUUACUCUCAAUAUAGAAUCCUACGACAUUCUCAGGGAUUUGGAUGUUAUUCAGCCUUCAAUUACAAUGAAGCAACUUUUGGUUGUAGCACCAAAAUGUCAAUCUACAUUGAAUUCAUCAUUAAUAUGACGAAGAUCCCACACUAGAGAAAUUCAUGAAGUUAGCUUCAACCCAGAUCCGGGAUCACCAACAAUCGAUGUAUCAAUUGAUGGCGUUUUAAUUCCAGGGGUACAAGUCGAUGGUGGCUCCAGUGUGAAUUUAAUGGACAUGGAUACAAUGGAGGAUUUGGAUCUAAAGUAAUUGCUACCUAUGACAUUGGUCUUGCGAAUGGCAGAUCAUAGUCGGGUAAAGCCAAUGGAAAUCUUACGCAAUAUUGCCAUUGUAAUGGCAGGAUUGAUAUAUAAAAGCGAUUAUAUUGUAUUCUGAUUAUAGAGUUCUACAUUAUCGUAUCUCAUUUUAUUGGGUAGACCUUGGCUUUAUCAAGCCAAAGCUAAGAAUGAUUGGGGCCGAGGCACAUUGACAAUUGGAAAAGGCUGGGACCAGAUUGUUCUACAGAUGUACCCGGUACAAUAUCAUGGAGAAUCUCAAUUGCCAUAAUCAAAAUUUACAUCAGACAACGAAAGUCAAUCGAUUGAGGCAGAUGACGAUGCUAUAAGUUCACCGUAAUUUGGGGUAGGACAAAAUACUUCAAUAGAAAAGGCAGGAAUCUACCAAUGUGGAAAUCCCGACAAAUAUUUACUGCAUCAGGAGGAUGCGACUAACUCGGAUCAUGCUCUUAUCGAUUGGAUGAACAAUUUUGCAGUCAAUAGAGUCAGCACAUUGGUACCAGAUUUGGGUGGUUCUCAUAUGUCGAAUAAUAUAAGAAAUUUAGAUCAGAAGAAGACAAUUAAAUUAGAAGUUGUUGAAGACCCUGUGUAUCAAUCUAUUAACUUGGGCACCAACGAAACGCCAUAGCUAAUUAAAGUAUAUAUCGAUAUUAUCAGUAUAGAAUUGGAUGAUUGGAAAUAGUUUUUUGUCCAUCACAAAUCUGCCUUUGCGUGGUCGUAUGAGGAUUCGAAAGGGAUUCCAGCCGACGUGUGUGAGCACUUCAUUAUCCUGGAGGAGGGUGUUAUGCAAGUUCGUCAAAGACAACAUUGGCUUAACCCAAAAUAUUUCCUUUUAGUGAAAGAAGAAUUAGAUAAACUUCUCAACGUGGAUUUUAUUCAUCAUGUUCCGCAUAGUGCAUGGGUGUCGCCAAUCUUGAUGGUACGGAAGAAGAAUGAGAAAAUCAGGAUAUGUCAAGAUUUUUGAAAGUUAAAUGUGGCCACCAAGAAAGAUUACUUCUCAUUACCUUUCAUGGAUAGUAUGGAUAACAUGUUGUCAUUAUCACCACUAGGUAAAAGAAUAUGAGUGGGGCACGAGUUAAAGUCAUUCUGUGGUGUUAUUUUGGGUAGGCUAGAGUGCCAUUUUUUUGUAUUUCUUGUGUUUUCAAAAGUAGUAGUUUCAGUUAAUAGUUAACAGUGAGGAGCCAAUCAUAAGAAAGAGAGCGCAUGGUAGAGACCCACAGGCAAGAACUAUUUCGGGCUCACAAUCAUUCAAUUUUGGAACUGAAAAAAAUAAAGGGUCAGUUGGUAAUGGAACGAGAAAAGAUCGAGUUAUUGGUGCAAGAGGAAUUGGUAUUGAGUGACCAAUACAGAUAUAAAAAUGAGUGAUUAAGGCCUAAAAUUGAGGCCAUGAAUGUCGAGGUGACAAGAUUGGCAGAGGAUUUAGUCAAUAUUGGUCAAGCACAAGUAUCGACGUUGCCAGUUCCCGAAGUUCUAGAAGAGAAGAGUCACUUUUAGCGCUAGUUAGAAUUGAGAGAUGCCUAGAUCCUGAAAUUGGAAGCUCGAGUCCGUGAAUUGGACAAGUACAAUGCUAGAUCCUGAAAUUGGAAGCUCAGGAGCUGAUGGAAGGAUUGGAAUGAAGACCUUUCAGCUCAGUUGAGGCAGGAGCUGAUGGAAGGAUUGGAGGAGGAUGAAGAUUUGCAGUUGGAACCGGAAUCAGUGGAACCAAUAACAGAUAUUGUGGCAAUUGAUUAAUUAGAUAGGCUAGAGAGAUUGCAAUUUUUGUAGAGUUUUGUUAGAUACUUUGUAGAUAGGUAUCAAUUGAGUGUUUGCGAGGAUGCUGCACAGUUAGGAGUGGGGCUAUGUAGAAUAAGUAGUUAUUUUCAGAAUGUAGAUACCUAGUGUAUAGUAUAAACAAAGAUAGAUAACUAUUGAAAAGGUAGUUUAGUAGGUAGAAUGGAUGAAUAGUCAAGAAAAGUAGUUAUCAUCUGUAGUAUAGGAGUUGGUAUCGCAGGGUAGUAUAAGGAGGAUGGGAGAGGGGAAGAAAAGGCCAGACUGUGAUAGUAUUGAACUGAGGGCUAGACUAUGAGAGUUGUAAGUCGAAGUAAGCUUGGUGCUACCUCUUUUCUUUUGUUUGUUAUUUUCUUUGAAUAAGAGGAUUGAAAGUUUCUGAAUAUUAUGAAGUAAAUUAUAGAAUGGAAAUAUGAUUGGUAUUAUUUGAGAAGAAGAAAGAUUGAAUGCUGAAAUCUGAUUGUAGUUCAGCAGAGAGAAUGAGUCUGUGUUUGUGUGAAACACUGUAAUGUGAAUGGCAAUUCUGUGUGAAGAAUUCCAGUGAUUGGAAUGAGGAUAAUUGUGUGAU
rnacentral:lncRNA from 1 species